UAUUUUGUGCAAGUAUAUGCAAUAAAAUCGUCUGCCUAAGAAAAAUUGAAUUUUUUUGGUAAGUUUUUUAUGCUUUUGGAUGCGUUUUUGGUCAUAAAAAGGGUCUUCCUCUACUCGGAUCAGGGAGUCAAUUUUUUUCUACACUUUUCGGUGUAUUUUGUGCAAGAAUAUGCAAUAAAAUCGUCUGCCUAAGAAAAAUUGAAUUUUUUUGGUAAGUUUUUUAUGCUUUUGGAUGCGUUUUUGGUCAUAAAAAGGGUCUUCCUCUACUCGGAUCAGGGUGUCAAUUUUUUUCUACACUUUUCGGUGUAUUUUGUGCAAGAAUAUGCAAUAAAAUCGUCUGCCUAAGAAAAAUUGAAUUUUUUUGGUAAGUUUUUUAUGCUUUUGGAUGCGUUUUUGGUCAUAAAAAGGGUCUUCCUCUACUCGGAUCAGGGUGUCAAUUUUUUUCUACACUUUUCGGUGUAUUUUGUGCAAGAAUAUGCAAUAAAAUCGUCUGCCUAAGAAAAAUUGAAUUUUUUUGGUAAGUUUUUUAUGCUUUUGGAUGCGUUUUUGGUCAUAAAAAGGGUCUUCCUCUACUCGGAUCAGGGUGUCAAUUUUUUUCUACACUUUUCGGUGUAUUUUGUGCAAGUAUAUGCAAUAAAAUCGUCUGCCUAAGAAAAAUUGAAUUUUUUUGGUAAGUUUUUUAUGCUUUUGGAUGCGUUUUUGGUCAUAAAAAGGGUCUUCCUCUACUCGGAUCAGGGUGUCAAUUUUUUUCUACACUUUUCGGUGUAUUUUGUGCAAGUAUAUGCAAUAAAAUCGUCUGCCUAAGAAAAAUUGAAUUUUUUUGGUAAGUUUUUUAUGCUUUUGGAUGCGUUUUUGGUCAUAAAAAGGGUCUUUCUCUACUCGGAUCAGGGAGUCAAUUUUUUUCUACACUUUUCGGUGUAUUUUGUGCAAGAAUAUGCAAUAAAAUCGUCUGCCUAAGAAAAAUUGAAUUUUUUUGGUAAGUUUUUUAUGCUUUUGGAUGCGUUUUUGGUCAUAAAAAAGGUCUUCCUCUACUCGGAUCUGGGUGUCAAUUUUUUUCUACACUUUUCGGUGUAUUUUGUGCAAGUAUAUGCAAUAAAAUCGUCUGCCUAAGAAAAAUUGAAUUUUUUUGGUAAGUUUUUUAUGCUUUUGGAUGCGUUUUUGGACAUAAAAAGGGUCUUCCUCUACUCGGAUCAGGGUGUCAAUUUUUUUCUACACUUUUCGGUGUAUUUUGUGCAAGUAUAUGCAAUAAAAUCUUCUGCCUAAGAAAAAUUGAAUUUUUUUGGUAAGUUUUUUAUGCUUUUGGAUGCGUUUUUGGUCAUAAAAAGGGUCUUCCUCUACUCGGAUCAGGGUGUCAAUUUUUUUCUACACUUUUCGGUGUAUUUUGUGCAAGAAUAUGCAAUAAAAUCGUCUGCCUAAGAAAAAUUGAAUUUUUUUGGUGAGUUUUUUAUGCUUUUGGAUGCG